UUCACACAAGCCUUUCCUUCAUCCUCGCAAGCGGUCUCGUAAGACCUUCCUCUUCCCUCUGUCUCUCUCCGCCUUCGCCCGCUGCCCCGCCCUCUCCUGGCAGGCAGGCAGGCAGUCAUAUGACAGCCAAGGUUUCUCUUCAGACUGAGCCAUUUACUCCGUUACAUUCGUGGUCUGUACACCUUCUCUCUCCGUUUUCUGUUACUUGGAAAACAUGUUUCAACUCGCUGACGUCAUGUUGCUUCCGCAUUACCAGGCAUGAUGAAGAACCUCUGUGGGGGAAACAGCAGCGUCUUCUCGUGCCCUAAGGAGCUGGAGGGUCUUGGUGUCUCGCCUCCUACGUCGAGCCUUCUGCAGGAGUUUCUGAUCCCCGCCAACAACAGCAAUAGUAGCAACAGCAACGAUAAUAGCAAUAGUGAGAGAGAUAUUGAAGAGACAAGUGACGGAGAUAGUGAAGGCAUUAGUGAUAGCGAGAAUAAUAACGACAGGAAGGAGUGG